CACAGCAAAACUGAAUACAAUUUGAAAAUGAUCUUUUUAGUAUUAUGUUCAGAGUUACCAGUGUCACCAGGUAAGUUAAUUUGAUUUAAUUUCUUUUAAACGACACACACAUAAAAAUUAUUAGCCUCAUUAUGUAUUUGUGUUUAAUUUAUUGUCUAUUUAUUAAGCACCAUAUCUCUCAUUAAGGAUAUUGUCAAGGUUCUGGAAGGAUGCAGGUAAAGGCAGGCGUCGGGGAAAACGAAGGAGAUUUUAUUCUAAUAAAAACACAAUGCAAAAGGCAAAAGGAAACAGACCAUGAGGGUUCAAAACCAGGCUGGGAGAGCAGGGGGGAAACACAGGAUCAGCAGGAUUGAUCCUAUACAGCAGGAUCGCACACGUAACAAUACAAUGACUGGACUGGGGAGCACAGGACGAAGAGGCACUAUAUGCAGCACAGAUGAGGAGCAGACGAGAGGGACCUGGGAUCAUCCACACAAGGGCUGAAACGGGAGGCAGGAUUAAACGAGAAAUAGAUGUAGCUCAUUAGCACCACACCACAGGGAAGGCGAGGGAAACGGGCAUGUGGGGAGUGAUAGGCAUGUAGUCCAGGUCACCUGUGUUACCAUAGACUUUAACGUGUCCUGCAGUCUUGUCCCCCCCCCACACCCUCUGCUUGUUCUCUUCCUCUGUUUCUGUCUUCACUCCAGAUCCCACACAUUUCCAGCCCGCUGUUUCUGGGAAAAGCCACCUGCCAAUCAUCCUUGGAGCAGCAGCCAUUCUCAGGAUAUCCUACAUCUCAGAUCACCUAAUAAACACAGGACCUGUCGACGACUGGAGAAAAGGAGAAACGCUGAAGUACACUGGGCAUUUUGGAAGCAUUUCGUCAUAAUAAAUUACCUUUGCCUUUA